rnacentral:tRNA from 1 species
UGGCUCAGUGGUUAAGAGCACUGGCUGUUAUUCCAGAGGACCUGAGUUCAAUUCCCAG